CAGCCGCCGCGGUUAAACGAGAGGCCCAAGUUGAUAACGCCACGGCGUAAAGGGUGGUUAAGGAAAAUAGCACAAUAAAGCCAAAUGGCCCUUUGGCCGUCAUACGCUUCUAGGCACCCGAAGCCCAAUUAUACGAAAGUAGCUUUAAUAUGCCCGCCUGACCCCACGAAAGCUGAGAAA
rnacentral:rRNA from 1 species